UACGUAGGGUGCGAGCGUUAAUCGGAAUUACUGGGCGUAAAGCGUGCGCAGGCGGUUUUGUAAGUCCGAUGUGAAAUCCCCGGGCUCAACCUGGGAAUGGCAUUUGGGACUGCAAGGCUGGAGUGCGGCAGAGGAGACUGGAAUUCCUGGUGUAGCAGUGAAAUGCGUAGAUAUCAGGAGGAAUACCGAUGGCGAAGGCAGGUCUCUGGGCUGACACUGACGCUCAUGCACGAAAGCGUGGGGAGCAAACAGG
rnacentral:rRNA from 1 species